rnacentral:rRNA from 1 species
UACGUAGGGGGCAAGCGUUGUCCGGAUUUAUUGGGCGUAAAGAGCGUGUAGGCGGCCAUACAGGUCCGUUGUGAAAACUGGAGGCUUAACCUCCAGACGUCGGUGGAAACCGUAUGGCUAGAGUCCGGAAGAGGAGAGUGGAAUUCCUGGUGUAGCGGUGAAAUGCGCAGAUAUCAGGAAGAACACCCGUGGCGAAGGCGGCUCUCUGGGACGGUACUGACGCUGAGACGCGAAAGCGUGGGGAGCGAACAGG